rnacentral:rRNA from 1 species
UACGUAGGCGGCGAGCGUUGUUCGGAAUUACUGGGCGUAAAGAGUGUGUAGGCGGUGCUCUAAGUUCGGUGUGAAAUCUCCUGGCUCAACUGGGAGGGUGCGCCGGAAACUGGAGUGCUUGAGCGUGGGAGAGGAAAGCGGAAUUCCUGGUGUAGCGGUGAAAUGCGUAGAUAUCAGGAGGAACACCUGUGGUGUAGACGGCUUUCUGGACCAUAGCUGACGCUGAGACACGAAAGCGUGGGUAGCAAACAGG